AUGUGGUGAGGGCAUGAGUCAAAAAGUUUCUGAAAACAUUCCCAAUACUCAUAGAGAGUCUCCAAUUCUUCUUGGACAAUGCAUGAAAUUUCCUUCCUUAACCU